rnacentral:rRNA from 1 species
GUAGUCUGCAACCCGACUACAUGAAGCCGGAAUCGCUAGUAAUCGCAGAUCAGCAUGCUGCGGUGAAUACGUUCCCGGGUCUUGUACACACCGCCCGUCACACCAUGGGAGCCGGGAAUGCCCGAAGUCGGUGACCCAACCGAAAGGAGGGAGCCGCCGAAGGCAGGUCUGGUAACUGGGGUGAAGUCGUAACAAGGUAGC